rnacentral:lncRNA from 1 species
GCAACCCGUAUGUCAGCCGCACAUACCCAGCUCCAGUGGCUCAGGAUGCCUGCCGUCCGGGCUCCGUCUAGGCCCCCAGUGCUGGCUGGUGCCACCCUCUGCUGGCACUUAUGUCCCUGGCUGGAAGGAGCCUGGAAAGGCCACUUGAGCUUAAAGGUCCCCAGAGUGUGCCACUGUGACCAUCACCCUCAGCCUCCCCUGAACCCGCCCCUGCCCAGCCCAGUCUGGCGUGGGGUGUGUCCACCAGUUUUCAGAGCUUUUCCUGAACCAGGGAGAGGCAAGUCUUCCCACAGGACGCCAGGGAUCCAUCCUUGCCACCCGAUGGAAAGCCACACCUGAAGCCAGACCUCCUGGACUUCUCAGCAAGGAGAAAAGUAACUAAGGCACCAUCAUAUUAAAGGCCCAAUUCAUCGAAGCCCACUCUCCCCGAGCCAGCAGAGUUCCGGACACCUCGCUCCCUGCCUUCCAUCUCACACUCCCAGGCUCCCGCCCUGGCCCAGCCUAGGGCUUUGGAAGUGACCACCUGGGCAGUCCUAGGUGGGCUCUUUAUGCUGAGCCCCGGUUUCUUGGUCCAAAACAUGGGGUGUUAACAGCCCUGCCUCCUGGGUCCUGUAUCCUGACUGCCAGCCACGGUUAGAGCAAGAAGCAUGGAGCAUGAGGUCUCAAAGGCCCCUCAGGACCUGGAGGGAGCUGGAGGAUGGCACAUUUGCCGCUCAGCCCUGGACGGUUCUGACGGUUCUGUAAAAGCACGCCCCGCACGACAGCAACUGCUGGACAUGGAGGAGUUCUCAUUUUUGUAGCUUGUCUGCUAACACCAAAAUUCAAUCAAAUUAAAAAAGAAAAUUCAUCUUUCUUCUGAAGUGGCCUCACCCCCACAGCAGCUUCACGGGGUGUCUUCCCCUGCGCCCCACCGGAAGUUCUGUCUGCAGAGGUACAACCACCACCUGAGUUCCAAAGCUUCCAUCCUCUGCAAAACAAAUUUUGUGCCCCUGACUAACCACCUGCACUUUGUUUUUAAAUAGUUUUUAGUAUUUUGUUGUUGAGACAGGGUCUUGCUAUGUAGCCCAGGCUGGCUGUGCACUGUGAUCCUCCUGCUUCAGCCUCUCAAGUGUGGGAUGACAGGCUUUCAAAACAUUCUAUUUUUUGACGA